CCAGAGCCGGCGCUAUCCGAGCGCCGGCUCUGCUCUAAGCCUCCUCUCACCGACCCACUGGCAGUGAGGGAGGCAGGAGAGGACCCGAGGAGCUCUUGCCAGCAGCUCCACCGGGUUCCUCUUGUGAGAUCUGAACGUUGCCGUGGCAACGCUCAGCUCUCACGAGCGUGAACUCUAGCCCCGCAGGCUAGAGUUCACUCUCCACUGGACAACCAGGGAUGGCAGCAAGGAAGGAUCCCCCCU